AUUGUAUUUGUAAAUUUCAGACAAACGCAUAAAUGUUGAGAUGAGAUUGUUCUCAGCUAUGGCUGAUAAGGUUCCCAUCGUUGUUAUUCUAGGAGCUACUGGAGCUGGUAAGUCUCAGCUUGCCCUGGAGCUGGCUCAAAGGUUUGGCGGGGAGAUAGUGAGUGCAGACGCUAUGCAGAUGUACAAGGGUCUCAAUAUUAUCACAAAUAAGGUGACUGCUGAAGAGCAAAGACUUGUGAAGCAUCAUAUGAUCGAUAUCCUGGAGACAAAUGCAGUAAAUACUAUUGUAGAUUUCAAGAAUAAAGCUCUACCUAUAGUCGAGGAUCUACUCAGGAACGGAAAGAUUCCGUUUAUCUGCGGCGGAACUAAUUAUUAUAUAGAAAGCUUGAUCUGGAAAAUAUUGAUUGACGAAGAAACACCGUAUUUUGUUGACAAGAAGCGUAAAGGAGAGUUGGACGGAAAUGACGCGGAAAGUAAGAAGUUGAAAAAUAACGUAUCGGAAUAUAAUAAUGAUAAGCCCCUGGAUCCAGAUGAAUUAAACCUGAACGAGAUUGAUUUUGAGAAGGAUACUGAAACUAUCCCAACUGAUAAACUGUUCCGGAGUUUGCAGAAGAUAGAUCCUGACAGGACGGAGAAACUACAUCCUAGAGAGAGAAGGAAGAUCUGGAGAAGUUUACAGAUUUGGAAACAUCACGGAGUUCGACACUCUGAGCUUAUAUCCAGCCAAGGCGGAGUAAAGGGGGGCGGGCUAAGGUUCCCCGCCUCUAGAAUCUGUAUUAUUGAGGUGUGGAGUGAUCAGGCUGUACUGGACGAGCGAUGCAACAGAAGGGUUGAGAAGAUGAUAGAACGGGGAAUGGUGAAUGAAUUGAUUUCAUUUCAUGAUCAACAUAAUAAAACAAGGUUCGAUGUCUCCGGUCCUGAUUACAAUCAAGGUAUCUUUCAAAGUAUUGGUUUCAAGGAGUUUCAUGCUUACCUCAACCUGAACCCGGAGCAACGGGACUCAGAGCAGGGUAGGGCGGAGUUUAGUAAAGGAGUUCAACUUCUUAAAACAGCAACCCGGCAAUAUGCAAGACGGCAAGCGAAAUGGAUGAAGAAAAGAUUUCUUUUGGAACAUCGUGAAUCUCCGGCAGUUUAUAGAGUGGACUCCACAGAUCCAACCCAGUGGGAUGAGAAGUGUUAUAAACCUGCGGAGAGAAUCCUUCAAGCUUUCACUGAGGGAACUGAACCCGACCAGGCCCCCCUGGCCAGGUUAACCAUCAACCCGGAGCAGAUGGAUGAGAAUAUGAGAAUCCUGCACUGUGAUCUGUGCCAACGUGAUUUUACCGGAUCCCAUCAGUUUAAAAACCAUUUAAACGGAAAGAAACAUGCUGCCGUGUUGAAAACUAUUGCGGCAGCGGAACCUCCUUUAUCUCUAGUUCUCGUCAAAAUCGACGAAUCUCGAAAGGUUGAGACGGCCAAGAUUUUGAAGAACACAUUUGAGAUACCUUUGCACGAGGUGUUGGCGCUGUUGGAACGGAUUCCUUGUGAGAUUACCAGGCUGAAACCAAGGACGAGGGCGGAGAACAUGAAGAAGUGUCUUGCUAAGCACGGGAUACACCUGGAGAUUGAGCAGACCAAGAUGAUAGAUUAAACCAAACUUGUGAUAUUGUCAAGACUGGAGAAUAAUUUCUACCAACCCAAUUCGUCCCCCCAUUAUUAACGAGCAAUAUCGUUAAAAUUAUACUCUAACCUUGUUACGUUUAUUCAUUUUAACCUAGUUGGGAUUACUUGCAGAAA
rnacentral:misc_RNA from 1 species